rnacentral:tRNA from 1 species
GCGCCUGUAGCUCAGUGGAUAGAGCGAGUGGCUUCGGACCACUAGGUCGCGGGUUCGAAUCCUGCCGGGCGCGCCA